AUAUAUGUACAAUAUUAUUAAUAUUAAUGAUCUCGCAUGUGUGUAAAUGAAACAGUGAGAGAAGUGGUGUGUUGGCAAUGAUUAGAACGAAAUAGUUCCAUAGCCAAAAUAUAUAUUUUUUGACUUUCCGCGUGUAUUUAAGAAUUUGUUUGGGUAUUUGUUAAGUUUGAACAUUUUUUUAAAUCUCUGGUGAAAUAAAAACGUUAUGUUAACGGUAAAAAAAUAUUACGUGCCGAAACCGUGGUCGCGCAUUAAUAAUGUUAAUAGUCACUUGUUUGUUUUCUCUUUCAGCCGCUUUCAGCAGCUCUUUAAGCAGUCUGCAGUCUGUACGCCAUUUUGCAGUGUGUUUUAAUAUAUUACUGACCGUGAAAUAACGUACAGUUUGUGUUUCAGGAUUUUGUGUUAAUAUUGUGUAUUUUAACUUUGUUAUAUUAUUUAUUAUCUACUAUUGUAAUGAUGGAAUUUGUUAUCGUUUUGAUAUUUUGUGUGGUUCUUGUGAUUGCUGUAAUGGUAAUUGGUUCCGGGAUGGGGAAAGCUACUUCGUCGCAGCGUCAGAUGGACAUCAUUAACGUCGCUCAGAACUUAUAUCUUUUAAUUAGGAAAGGCGACUUGAAGAAAUGUGACGUUACGCAGACGACCGCGUUUCUUCUCAACAUCGCAAAGUCAACUGUUCUCAAGUACUACAAGAAAGACAUUGAAGAAGUUUCAACACCAGGAAAAAAGAGGAAAAAAAGGCCACAGGAAGGAAAGUCACUUGACACAGUCGACGAUUUCACAGUAAAUGCAAUCAGGAAUGCAAUUUACAGGAUGUACGCUGAAGGUUUGAAUGUUACAGUCGACACCAUUUUGAAAGAAAUCAGGGAGAGACAAAUAGAUUAUUAUGGUGGAAGAUCAAGUCUUCAUAAAUUGUUAAAGAAGAUGGGAUUUUCAUGGAAAACUGUUGAUGGACGAAAAGCUUUGAUAGAGAAUGAAAACAUAGUAUUGCAGCGAAUAGAUUUCUUGAGAAAGUAUAAAGAAGAAAAAGAAAGAGGUGCCAAUUUCAUAUUUGUUGAUGAAACAUGGAUUUUCCAGAGAGGAACUGUAUCAAAGUCAUGGCAGGACAAGAGUCUACAAUCUGCGAAGAGACGUACUGUUGGAGAUGGUAAAAGGUUUAUUGUUGUUAAUGCUGGAGGGCGCACUGGCUUUGUGCCAGGAGCAGGAUUACUUUUUGUUUCAGGUCAGAAGACUGCAGACUACCAUGGCGAGAUGAAUGGGGAAACUUUCUUGAUGUGGUUUGAAGACAUGUUGGUGCAUCUUGAGGAACCCAGUGUCAUCAUAAUGGACAAUGCUUCAUAUCACAGCACCCAGGUUGAGAAAACACCUACAACGAACUGGACCAAGGCUGCACUGAUCGCGUGGCUGGAGAAGAAUGGGAUAAAACAUGAAAAUAAUUUGUUGAAAGUGGAGCUGCUGAGAAUAGCUAAACAAAACAAGCCCCGAAUACGGUAUAUUAUUUCGUUUUUUUUACAGCAUUUCUUUAAAAGUGAGAUAGUUGCAAAAAAUUACGUAUACACCUUGUUCUAACACACUUUUCAGAUAUGAGGUAGACGAGUUGGCUCGUAACUAUGGCCACGAAAUUCUACGACUCCCACCCUAUCACUGCCACUAUAAUGCAAUCGAACUAGUUUGGGCUCAAUGUAAACACCAUUACAAUAGUAACGUGGGGCGGGCCAAGAGAUUUGACAAUGAUUCAGUUGCAGCCAUCUGGAAAGAGGCUCUUGAUGCUUCCACACCAGAGAGAUGGGCGAGGUGUGUGGAUCACGUGGAGAAGCUAAUUCAAGCAGACUGGGAGAGAGAAGUCCACAUAGACAGCGGCACCAUUCCUCCACUCAUCAUCCACCUCGGCGAGGAUAGUUCAAGUGAAGACAGUGACAGCGAAGAAUUUGAGGUUACGACACAGCAAGUAGAUGGAGACAGUGAAGUACUGGCAGUUCCUCUUGAUGAUUUACCCGGGUGUUCUUAUUGAGGUCUGUAUGUAAUAAACACCUGGGCAACUGUAAGUAUUGGGGUUUGAAACAUUUUUUUUUCUUUUAUGCAUUCCCAUGAAGUAUGUUGAUUACUGGAACUUUAUGUAUUAACUUUAUAUUACACGUAUUAUGAAAUGAAUAUUAAAUUUCAUUUCUGGAUUCGUAUAGGUGUAUGUGAAACAUUUUAUUUUGUUGUGUGUCUUCAUUUUUCAGUGAACUUACUUGGAAAACAAAAAGCCAGUCCCCAUCCAGGGCCACAAAUAAAUAAUGCAUAUAAGUGGUAUAGAAAUUACUGUCAAUUCUUCACCACAAUUUUACUGUUCAUAAAAUUAUGAUUUUGUCUAAUAAGUAUACUCAGGAAAAUGUAUAUAACCAUAUUUUUAUUUGUGGCCUUAACCGGCAAAAUGGUACGGGUUUAUUAAAUAAAAGAAGAAAAUUCAUUUUUAAAUGUUUUCAUCUGAAUUUGUUAAUUUUAUUAAACCUUCAAUCCUUAGUCUUUUCCAGAUUGCUUAGAUGGACAGCCAUAUGUAUAAUUUACAAUACUUUUUUUUUCAGAUGCAGAAAACUGUGUUGAACUGUACUAAAUGAUGAUAUUUAUUGCUUACAUAAAUGUUGUAAAUUUAUAUAUUCUCCUAAAAAUUUACUUUAAAUUAUAUGUUAUUUCUUUAGCUAACAAACUUAUUUUUUAAUAUUUUUACCAUUGGGUAUCAUAAAUAAUGUUAUGAACAUAUGCAUGUAUACUUAGAUCAUAUUCAAAUUACUUUUAUAUAUAUAUAUAUAUAU